UACAGUAUGUGUAUAGAUGAUCAAUACAGUAUGUAUAUAGAUGAUCAAUACAGUAUGUGUAUAGAUGAUCAAUACAGUAUGUGUAUAGAUGAUCAAUACAGUAUGUGUAUAGAUGAUCAAUACAGUAUGUGUAUAGAUGAUCAAUACAGUACGUAUAUAGAUGAUCAAUGGAAUAGAUUAUGCUUCUGCUCUUUUUCUAUAAGAUUUUGCCAUUUCCAGAUUUGAUUACAUUUCACGUCGAAAUAUGUUGAACUAUUCAUUAGCUCUGCUCCUUCAGGGUAGCAGUAAACUAUACCACUCCCCCAGCAGGAACACAGAACCUAACAGGUGGAGGCUGGGGUGGUGGGAGGAGCUAAAAGCCAGCUCAUAAUAGCAGCAAGUGGCAGCAGGAUGAGUGAGCAGACCUGGUCAUCCUAAAUAGACUGCCAAAUAAGGUGCUCCCGCCUGUCCAGCGCUUCCAGAGCCUCCCUCCUGUCCAGCGCUUCCAGAGCCUCCCUCCUGUCCAGCGCUUCCAGAGCCUCCCUCCUGUCCAGCGCUUCCAGAGCCUCCCUCCUGUCCAGCGCUUCCAGAGCCUCCCUCCUGUCCAGCGCUUCCAGAGUCUCCCUCCUGUCCAGCGCUUCCAGAGUCUCCCGCCUGUCCGGCGCUGCCGGAGUCUCCUGUCUAUUUGGGGCCCGCUGCAAGUGUCCUCAGUCCGAGGCGAACAGAUGCCCACCCAGACCCACCCUAGGUUUCGGUUUUGCGGCCGGAGUCCACAACUUUGGGGGGGGGGGGUACUGUCACGCCCUGACCAUAGAUUGUUUGUAUGUUUCUAUUUUUAGUUUGGUCCGGGUGUGAUGUGGGUGGGUAUUCUAUGUUGUAUGUCUAGGUGUUGUGUUUCUAUGUUUAGGCCUGGUAUGGUUCCCAAUCAGAGGCAGCUGGUUAUCGUUGUCCAUUUUUGAGAACCAUCUGUCUUUGUGUGUCUGCACCAGACAGAACUGUUUCGUUUGUUCCACUUUGUUGUUUUUUGUUGUUCUUGUGUUCAGUUUCUUUAUUAAAUUUACCAUGAACACGUA